GAUGAAGAACGUAGCGAAAUGCGAUAAGUAAUGUGAAUUGCAGAAUUCAGUGAAUCAUCGAAUCUUUGAACGCACAUUGCGCCCAUUAGUAUUCUAGUGGGCAUGCCUGUUCGAGCGUCAUUAAGUCCACUUAAGCCCUGCUUAGUGUUGGGAGACUGCUCCAGCGGUGCUACCCUGUAGCUACCCUGCAGCUCCUCAAAGACAGCGGCGGAGUUGUGGUAUCCUCUGAGCUUAGUAACUUGUUCUAGCUUUCGAGUACACCACUUCCCCUGCCGUAAAACCCUUAAUUUUUAAUGGUUGACCUCGGAUCAGGUAGGAAUACCCGCUAAACUUAAGCAUAUCAAUAAGCGGAGGA
rnacentral:misc_RNA from 1 species